rnacentral:lncRNA from 1 species
UGAGAGAAUCUGGCCCUGGAGCACCGUGGCAGAUUCAGCAGAGCACAGAGGAGGCCAGGCUCCUCCUCAACUAGGUGAAACCAGCUUCCCCGCCAACACGGCACCAGCCCUGGGGAGGGAACAGUGCCCGGAGGAGUUGCAGGGAUGUUAGUGGACAUCUGCCAUGUGCCCUGUGUGCCACUGGGAGGCAUGGGUGGAGAUCAGGUUCCAGGCACACCUCUGGGACAUACCACAGGGCCAAGCUUUUGCAGGUCAGGGGCAGAGAAGUGAGACUGAUUUCUGCCAGGACACCUGCGAACAGAUACCAGCUGCCUGGAGUCUGUCAGUUGCUGAGGAGGCAUAGGAAGAAACUAGUUCACCCAUGUCUCUCUUACACACAGGUUAAAAUCAACCUGUCAAAUCUCAUGAAAAACCUGGUGAAGUUUUGUUGGAAUUGUAUUAUACUGGAUGAUCAAUUUGGAGAGAUUUGACAGCUCCAGAAUAUGAAGAAUUUCUGGCUACAAAUAUGAUCCUGAAUUCCAGUGGAAUGGCUGAUACCAAGCAGCAUGAAGACCCCCCCAGAGGAGCACUAUCAGCAUGAAGACCCCUGCAGAGGAGCCUAAUCAGGAUGAGAAUGAGGCUUUGUAUGUGUACCAUCAAUCAAUAAUUGGAGGCUGACUGCCCUGGAAAAGCUGGGACUUGCACUGAAAAUUGGGGCCUGAUUCAUAUGCAGGAGAUGGGAUACAGAAGCUGAAGUUCAUGCGUAGGAGCCUAUAUAUCCUUCUCAGAAAGAAGGUGGGACAUCACAGAACUUUUUCACGAAAGUUGUUCUUUGCCUAUUCUAACUACUGAACAGAACCAUCAGUGAAGACUCCAUAGAACAUGAAUAUAAUGAUUAUGGCAUAGGAAAUUUUAAGUAGUUAUUUUCAUGUGCCGGACACCACAGGAAGAUCUCAAUGAUGCUUCUACUGACAGUCUAAUUUUGAAGGACACCAUGUCACUUCCUGCUGGAAUGAACUCAUGGCUGACCAUGAGCAUCUCUAGGUAACUAAACAAGCCUGCAUUUUGGAGCUAGUGAACAUAGACCCAUGGAAUUUGGAAGACAGCUGUGAAAAUGCUGCCUUGGCCUUAGAAUUGCUGGUUUUGAUAUUUUUUUAAGGCACAUGUUAGGGUGCAGGUUUUUCUACUUAAUGACAACAAGAACAUAUUUUCAACAUGCAAACACCCAGGUUUCUGUGGCAGGGACAUCAUGAUAACGUUCCAGAUAUUAAGAUAUUUGUUAUGAAAGAAGAGCAGGAUCCCGGCCCUGCUUUCUUCAUCCCAGGUGUGAGGGGGCCAUCAGCUGCUUUGUAGCCUCCAUUCCAGGAUGCAGGCUGCCCUUAACUCUUGGGUCUCCAUGCUUACAGAGGCAGCAAUAACUAGGUGCCUCUUGUAACACUGUUUGGUUUAACCUGGACACAGAGACAAAAGACAAGAAAGGAUCGAUUGCAGCUACACAAAGUGUUUCUUUAGUUGUAACAAACUUUUCAGUAGGAUGUUAGGAAACUUGGGUGGGGCUCUCUCCCAGCACACUGGGAAGCCUUGGAGGGUUUCAAAUGGGAAAACAGUAGGACUCUUGUUUUUCAAAAAGCGUUCUUGCUGCUAGGUGAAGAAUGAAUAUGGUGGGGGCAAGGUCUCUAAUACUACGUAAGAGUGGCUUCCAGGUCCCAGAAUGAGAAGUAUCUAGGGUUUUUAUAAAAUUUGAGGCUGCUUUAUUAAGACAGAGCUGGAAGAAAUGUCUCAGGGGGUCACUAGGGGUAAAGGAAUGUAUCAGAGUCAUAGUAUUCACAACUUUUUUUUUUUUUUUGAUGGAGUCUCGCUGUCGCCCAGGCUGGAGUGCAAUGCUGCAG